CUUCCGCGUCCACCUCCCCGGCGGCCGGGCCGCCCCGCGCUCGGCCGCGGUUGGCUCGGAGGACGGAUGCCAGCGGGGCCGGGGGUGGGCGCUCCCCUUCUGCUGGCGGAUUUAUCCGGCGAGGCCGGGGGAUCCCGCCUCUCCCCCCGCUGCCUGGGCGCUGAGCGUUCCCGCUUUCCCCUCCAGCCGCAGGGGUACCUGGAAAUGCCUAGGUUAGAACAAAACGAAAUCCAGGCGUACGAAGAAAUCAGUGUCUCAUCCUGUUUCCUUACAGAUACAGCAUGUAAACUUUUGCUUUUUCUCCUGUCGGGAUUGUAAUUCUACCUGCUCGGAAAUCUAGGCAAUUGACCUUUUUUGCUCCCGACAGAAGUCUUUUUAAUGCUGCCUUCCAUCUUGCUUGUCUACUCUUCCCCCCCGAAAAACACCCUGAAGAACUGUUUCUAAAUCAACAACAGUCAGCAAUCCUGGUAAUCUUCAGGAGUAAUCUUGAAAACCAGGGCUUGCUCACUUUCUUCCUGAAGCUCUACCAUUUUAUUUUAGCUCUAGCAAGGCUGCCACGCAUUUUGUCUGUAUUAAAAUUGAUCUGAAUUCCUG